CUGCGAAUGGCUCAUUAAAUCAGUUAUCGUUUAUUUGAUAGUACCUUACUACAUGGAUAACCGUGGUAAUUCUAGAGCUAAUACAUGCUAAAAACCCCGACUUCGGAAGGGGUGUAUUUAUUAGAUAAAAAACCAAUGCCCUUCGGGGCUCCUUGGUGAAUCAUAAUAACUUAACGAAUCGCAUGGCCUUGCGCCGGCGAUGGUUCAUUCAAAUUUCUGCCCUAUCAACUUUCGAUGGUAGGAUAGUGGCCUACCAUGGUAUCAACGGGUAACGGGGAAUUAGGGUUCGAUUCCGGAGAGGGAGCCUGAGAAACGGCUACCACAUCCAAGGAAGGCAGCAGGCGCGCAAAUUACCCAAUCCCGACACGGGGAGGUAGUGACAAUAAAUACUGAUACAGGGCUCUUUUGGGUCUUGUAAUUGGAAUGAGUACAAUUUAAAUCCCUUAACGAGGAACAAUUGGAGGGCAAGUCUGGUGCCAGCAGCCGCGGUAAUUCCAGCUCCAAUAGCGUAUAUUAAAGUUGUUGCAGUUAAAAAGCUCGUAGUUGAACCUUGGGCCUGGCUGGCCGGUCCGCCUCACCGCGUGUACUGGUCCGGCCGGGCCUUUCCUUCUGGGGAGCCGCAUGCCCUUCACUGGGCGUGUCGGGGAACCAGGACUUUUACUUUGAAAAAAUUAGAGUGUUCAAAGCAGGCCUUUGCUCGAAUACAUUAGCAUGGAAUAAUAGAAUAGGACGUGCGGUCCUAUUUUGUUGGUUUCUAGGACCGCCGUAAUGAUUAAUAGGGAUAGUCGGGGGCAUCCGUAUUCAAUUGUCAGAGGUGAAAUUCUUGGAUUUAUUGAAGACGAACUACUGCGAAAGCAUUUGCCAAGGAUGUUUUCAUUAAUCAGUGAACGAAAGUUAGGGGAUCGAAGACGAUCAGAUACCGUCGUAGUCUUAACCAUAAACUAUGCCGACUAGGGAUCGGUGGAUGUUUCUAUUUUGACUCCAUCGGCACCUUACGAGAAAUCAAAGUUU
rnacentral:rRNA from 1 species